rnacentral:rRNA from 1 species
GAGACACGGCCCAGACUCCUACGGGAGGCAGCAGUGGGGAAUAUUGCACAAUGGGGGAAACCCUGAUGCAGCGACGCCGCGUGGAGGAAGAAGGUCUUCGGAUUGUAAACUCCUGUUGUUGAGGAAGAUAAUGACGGUACUCAACAAGGAAGUGACGGCUAAUUAUGUGCCAGCAGCCGCGGUAAAACGUAGGUCACAAGCGUUGUCCGGAAUUACUGGGUGUAAAGGGAGCGCAGGCGGGAAGACAAGUUGGAAGUGAAAUCUAUGGGCUCAACCCAUAAACUGCUUUCAAAACUGUUUUUCUUGAGUAGUGCAGAGGUAGGCGGAAUUCCCGGUGUAGCGGUGGAAUGCGUAGAUAUCGGGAGGAACACCAGUGGCGAAGGCGGCCUACUGGGCACCAACUGACGCUGAGGCUCGAAAGUGUGGGUAGCAAA